UAUUGGUCAAUGGGCGGGAGCCUGCACCAGCCAAGUCGCGUGAGGGAUUAAGGCCCUACGGGUCGUAAACCUCUUUUGCCGGGGAGCAGGGCGGCGGACGUGUCCGCCGUUUGAGAGUACCCGGAGAAAAAGCAUCGGCUAACUCCGUGCCAGCAGCCGCGGUAAUACGGAGGAUGCGAGCGUUAUCCGGAUUUAUUGGGUUUAAAGGGUGCGUACGCAGGCUUUUAAGUCAGCGGUAAAAAUACGGGGCUCAACCCCGUCCAGCCGUUGAAACUGGGGGCCUUGAGUGGGAGAGAAGAAGGCAGAAUGCGUGGUGUAGCGGUGAAAUGCAUAGAUAUCACGCAGAACCCCGAUUGCGAAGGCAGCCUUCCGGCGCCCUACUGACGCUGAGGCACGAAAGUGCGGGGAUCGA
rnacentral:rRNA from 1 species